GAUGAACGCUAGCGGCAGGCUUAAUACAUGCAAGUCGAGGGGCAUCGCGGGUAGCAAUACCUGGCGGCGACCGGCGCACGGGUGCGUAACGCGUAUGUAAUCUACCUUUAACCGGGGAAUAGCCCAGAGAAAUCUGGACUAAUGCCCUAUAGUAUUAUUGGAAGGCAUCUUUCGAUAAUUAAAGCUCCGGCGGUUUUAGAUGAACAUGCGUGUCAUUAGUUAGUUGGCGAGGUAACGGCUCACCAAGACUACGAUGACUAGGGGGUCUGAGAGACUGAUCCCCCACACUGGUACUCAGACGCGGACCAGACUCCUACGGGAGGCAGCAGUAAGGAAUAUUGGGAAAUGGAGGCAACUCUGACCCAGCCAUGCCGCGUGAAGGAUGACGGCCCUCGUGGUUGUAAACUUCUUUUGUACGGGAAUAACCCUCCGAACUUGUUCGGAGCUGAAGGUACCGUAAGAAUAAGGAUCGGCUAACUCCGUGCCAGCAGCCGCGGUAA
rnacentral:rRNA from 1 species